GUCGCGGCGCGGCACGGAACGGCGCGGUGCGGAGCGGCGCGGCGCGGCGAGGCGGCUGUAGACUCCUGCAGCGCCCGCAGCGGGCAGCUGCGACUGGACCCUGCAACAGGCGCAUUAUUCUCACUGGUUUUCUGCCUGGAUCACCAAUGCUACCCGGCACCAGGUCAGAUGUGGGGGACAGUCCAAGAUGCAACGCUGCUCCCUCCCAGGGCUCGUUUUAAAGCGACAUAUGGCUGUGGAAAUAUGUCAACAGCUACGAGCAUCCCAUUGGUUGUUUGUUUAACCAAUGUUUAACUCUUUUUUUUUUUUUUUUUUGUCUCCACCGGAAUCUUUAUAUAACCCAAAGUUGUUACCCAAUCUUCCCAAGGAUCUCAGUCUGAUGUUGUUGGGAUUAAUCAUUGCAAGAGGUUGCAAACAAAGGUCUUCUAUUUCACGCCGUGAUGUCAUCCAGCAAUGACAUUUCUGUUUUAAGGCCUGCAUUUCACAACGUGUGCAUUUUAAGCAGCACUUCUGCAUUUUGAUGCAAACUUCUGCAGCAAUUGCAUUGUUUAGUACGGGCAGGUUUUGUUUUAUUGUUUGCAACGGCUGAAUGAACAAAAAAAAAAAAAAAACAUGUUUCUUCACGGUACAUUAAACUUUCCAGCCUGACUUAAACUUGUUGGCGUGAAAACUGUGCAACCAGAGAAAUAGCACUUAUACAGAUAUUACAAAUUGCCUUGACUGAUGUAUAAGCAGACACUGAUGUAACUUCUACAGAAACCUAUCCCAGAAUGCUAAACCCAAUAAAAGUUCACAAGACGGGUA